rnacentral:rRNA from 1 species
UACUCGAGUGGCGAACGGGUGAGUAACACGUGGGUGAUCUGCCUGCACUUCGGGAUAAGCCUGGGAAACUGGGUCUAAUACCGGAUAGGACGAUGGUUUGGAUGCCAUUGUGGAAAGUUUUUCGGUGUGGGAUGAGCUCGCGGCCUAUCAGCUUGUUGGUGGGGUAAUGGCCUACCAAGGCGUCGACGGGUAGCCGGCCUGAGAGGGUGUACGGCCACAUUGGGACUGAGAUACGGCCCAG